rnacentral:rRNA from 1 species
UGGGGAAUUUUGGACAAUGGGCGAAAGCCUGAUCCAGCCAUGCCGCGUGAGUGAAGAAGGCCUUCGGGUUGUAAAGCUCUUUUAGUCGGAAAGAAAGAGUUGCAAUGAAUAAUUGUGAUUUAUGACGGUACCGACAGAAAAAGCUCCGGCUAACUACGUGCCAGCAGCCGCGGUAAUACGUAGGGUGUGAGCGUUAAUCGGAAUUACUGGGCGUAAAGGGUGCGCAGGCGGUCUUGCAAGUCAGAUGUGAAAGCCCCGGGCUUAACCUGGGAAUUGCGUUUGAAACUACAAGACUAGAGUGCAGCAGAGGGGAGUGGAAUUCCAUGUGUAGCAGUGAAAUGCGUAGAGAUGUGGAAGAACACCGAUGGCGAAGGCAGCUCCCUGGGUUGACACUGACGCUCAUGCACGAAAGCGUGGGGAGCAAACA